rnacentral:misc_RNA from 1 species
GAAAUGUGAUAAGUAAUGUGAAUUGCAGAAUUCAGUGAAUCAUCGAAUCUUUGAACGCAUCUUGCGCUCUCUGGUAUUCCGGAGAGCAUGCCUGUUUGAGUGUCAUGAAACUCUCAACCCCCCGGGUUUUGUAAUGAAGCUCGGUUUAAAGGGGCUUGGAUCCUGAGCGUUGCCGGUUGUCUAACAAUCUGGCUCGUUCGAAAUACAUUAGCAAUCACGCUUACAGCGUUGGUUUGACUUGACGUGAUAGUAGUAAAACUCCGUCAAGGACAUCUCUUUGAGGUGACCGCGUUAUAAGCCGGAAUGCUUACAACCCCAAUUACAUAUAACAUUCAUGAUUAGACCUCAAAUCAGGUAGGACUACCCGCUGAACUUAA